GACGAACGCUGGCGGCGUGCUUAACACAUGCAAGUCGAACGGUGAAGGGGAGCUUGCUCCCUGGAUCAGUGGCGAACGGGUGAGUAACACGUGGGCAACCUGCCCCUGACUUCGGGAUAACGCUUCGAAAGAGGUGCUAAUACCGGAUAUGAACCCUGAGGGCAUCCUCGGGGUUGGAAAGUUUUUCGGUCAGGGAUGGCCCGCGGCCUAUCAGCUUGUUGGUGAGGUAGUGGCUCACCAAGGCGACGACGGGUAGCCGGCCUCGAGAGGGCGACCGGCCACACUGGGACUGAGACACGGCCCAGACUCCUACGGGAGGCAGCAGUGGGGAAUAUUGCGCAAUGGGCGAAAGCCUGACGCAGCAACGCCGCGUGAGGGAUGAAGGCCUUCGGGUUGUAAACCUCUUUCAGCAGGGAAGAAGCGAAAGUGACGGUACCUGCAGAAGAAGCACCGGCUAACUACGUGCCAGCCGCCGCCGUAA
rnacentral:rRNA from 1 species